GGCAAGGUGGCCGAGUGGUUAAGGCGCUGGUUUUAGGCUAAGCCCAAUUGGGCCAAACUAAAGACACCAGUGGGAAACCGCGCGAGUUCGAAUCUCGUCCUUGUCA